GGAUCGAUAUUGACGCGUGUAGGGCCGCCUUAUGGUGGGAGAGGCACCGCUUUCUGAAAUCGUUCGACGGCGUGUGAAAACUCGUGGCAAGGUGGCGACGGAAAGGGAUGGGUGAAAACCGUGGUAAACGUGCGAACGGUUGUUGACUUGGAGAGAAAGUAGUAUGGUGAAGUAUCGAGCGGUGGCAAGGAAUAUACGGUAGAGUUUGUAAUGGAGCUUGGAGUGGAGAGCAUAAGGGACGAAGGGAUAAGAAACAUGUCGGAUGUGAUCAUACCAGCACUAAAGCACC
rnacentral:rRNA from 1 species